GAAUUCGCCCUUGAAGGGCGCUUUUGGCUCAAGACGAGAACUGGUUCGCUGCCACAUUCUUGUUCGUGAAAACGAACUGUUUUGAAUUAUUUCUUCCGAAUGAAUUACAUCUAGUUUAGUGGCGGACGGGUGAGUAACGCGUGAGUAACCUGCCUUCUAGAGGGGGAUAACAUUCUGAAAAGAAUAUUAAUACCGCAUGACAUAUUGGAUCCACAUGGUUUUGCAUAUCAAAGGUUCUAUCGCUUGAAGAAGGACACGCGUCCGCUUAAUUAGUUGGUGAGGUAACGGCUUCCCAAGACCGCGAUCGGUAACCGGACUGAGAGGUUGAAUGGCCACCUUGGGAAUGAGACCCGGCCCAGACUUCUUCGGGAGGCAGCAGUGGGGGAUUUUGGGCAAUGGGGGCAACCCUGAAGCAGCAACGCCGCGUGAAGGAUGAAGGUUUUUGGAUUGUAAACUUCUUUUAUUAAGGACGAAAAAUGACGGUACUUAACGAAUAAGCUCCGGCUAACUACGUGCCAGCAGCCGCGGUAAUGCGUAGGGAGCAAGCGUUGUCCGGAAUUACUGGGUGUAAAGGGAGCGCAGGCGGGAAGACAAGUUGGAAGUGAAAGCCAUGGGCUCAACCCAUGAAUUGCUUUCAAAACUGUUUUUCUUGAGUAUUGCAGAGGUAGAUGGAAUUCCUGGUGUAGCGGUGGAAUGCGUAGAUAUUGGGAGGAACACCAGUGGCGAAGGCGGUUUACUGGGCGCCAACUGACGCUGAGGCUCGAAAGCAUGGGUAGCAAACAGGAUUAGAUACCCUGGUAGUCCACGCCGUAA
rnacentral:rRNA from 1 species